AGUCUAAGAGUUUUGAUUUAAACGUAAGUUUGCAAAACUUAAAUUAUUGUUUACUAUAACAAUUUAGACUU
rnacentral:tRNA from 1 species